AGGAUUAAAAUUAAAUAAGAGACAGUUUCGCUUCUUAAUGGUUUCUCCACUUAAUUAUUUUAGUAGGAAUCUGAAAUCAAAUAUAGAAUGGAAAACUAAUGUAGCCAAACCAUCUGAGAGCCAAUAGUAGAGACAGACAUUAAAUCACAGCACUUGUUCACUAGCAGUUUGGGUACCUACAGUAUGCUAUAUUGAAUGAUAAUUGUUAACAGCUAGAAACUUGCUUAUAAAAUGUGGUGAUGUUUCUUUAUGAUAGAUGCCUGACCAGUGUCCUCUUCCCUCAGUAAGGUGGUUCUAACUCAUAGUUGUUCAUACUAAUGGGAGAAGAUGGUGGGAGAGUCUUAUCAUCUGCUAACAUUUCAACAUGAGACACCACACAUGUGUGUCCUAAGUAGGUGAUGCAUUGUUGAAGUACCUGCAGGAUUUUCGUAUGAUCUUUGCAUUUAUAAUAUCUUUCUGGAAUGGGUCUUAAAGUCAGGUUUGAGCAGGUGCUUAUAGCAUGUAGUCAGAUUCCAUGGUAGAGGCAAGCAUUCUCCCUAAGAAUGUUGUUUACGUUGAAGACAGCGAUGGAGGAUCCCACCCUUCUGCUCUGAUGUCUUCCGAGGUAGAAGGGGUUGCUGACGGCUUCAUCAGGGCAUUAGAGAGAAUGAGCCUGGUGGGUUUACUGUGAUCAAGGUCGAGUUGUGUCACGAAAUAGGAUUUUGGACCUAAGUCUUAUUCUUUAGUUUAUUUAAUAUAUCAGUCUUUUUCCAUUAUUUCCUCAUUUGCCUUAAUUGAAGAUUCUAGAGUUGCGGUGCAGUUCAGAAAGCCUGAGGUUUAAGGGGAAAUGGUAAAGAGAAAGAGGACCGGAGCAGGAUUCGAUUCAGAGCCAACUGGUUUUCUUCUUUCCUAUUUCAGGGGAGUAGCUUCUUCAGCAGACUCUCCGCUGCUUGUGCUCCACAUUGCAUUGCUCACACCAUGGCAUGGUGUUUCCAUUCAUUGUCUCCUGAGUUCAUUUGGUGUAGAAGAGCUGGUUCUAAAGAGAACUUCUCCCUGCUGUCUUUUUCUUCCAGAACACUGGGGUGAUGGGUAUACCGCAGCAGUUGCCUGGCCGUCUCCUAGGUUAGUGUAGCAGAGAUUCUAUUCUCAGAUAAGACUUCCGUGUCGGCUGAAGAUGUAAGGGACUGUCCACGUUUGAGGGAGAAUUUCUUCUCACUAUUCUAGCUAGAAUAUGUGAAUGAAGAAAGAUUUCUAUUAUCCUGGACUCCUUUGUAUUUUUUAUAAUUGUUUUCUUUUUCUCACUUAUGCUCUGAUAUGUAUUGGUUUCUUGAAUAAAUUAAAACUUAAAGCACUGCUUUAGUAGACAUUUCUGGAAUUCCUGUCUCCCGCUUUCCUGACCACAUACAGCUCUUCUCCACUGCCUACAGCUGUAUGUUUUAGCAUGAUGAUGGAUGGAUGGACUGGAGCUAGAGCAAGGUUAACCACAUAUGCUCUGGUUUCAGAAACAUCAGAGAGGGAGGUGGUGACAUUUAUAAGUAUUCAUCUUUUAUUUACAAAUUUCACGCACAUUUGUAGUCUACUGUAAGCAACAUAGUGUCUUCUACCAUCUUUUUCCUCUUAAGGGUCAACACUACUAUUCUAUUUCAUAUUUACCAUUUUUUUCUUUUAAAAGAAUUCAUGUGGUGGGUCAUUGUAGAAAAUUUAGAGAAUAUGCAAAUAUUGAAAAAGAAA
ensembl:lncRNA novel transcript